AUUGAACGCUGGCGGCAUGCCUUACACAUGCAAGUCGAACGGCAGCACGGGAGCAAUCCUGGUGGCGAGUGGCGAACGGGUGAGUAAUAUAUCGGAACGUGCCCAGUGAUGGGGGAUAGCCCGGCGAAAGCCGGAUUAAUACCGCAUACGACCUACGGGUGAAAGCAGGGGAUCGCAAGACCUUGCGUCAUUGGAGCGGCCGAUAUCAGAUUAGCUUGNGGUGGGGUAAAAGCCUACCAAGGCGACGAUCUGUAGCUGGUCUGAGAGGACGACCAGCCACACUGGGACUGAGACACGGCCCAGACUCCUACGGGAGGCAGCAGUGGGGAAUUUUGGACAAUGGGCGCAAGCCUGAUCCAGCCAUGCCGCGUGCGGGAAGAAGGCCU
rnacentral:rRNA from 1 species